rnacentral:lncRNA from 1 species
UGCAUUGUGCAUGAAUCGAUGUGGCGUAUUUGUAAAACCAUGCCGUGAGGGAGACAUUCAUCCUGUUUUUCAAGGGUCUAUGUACCUCACAGCCUGUUAAGUUAGUUUCCAACCAUGAGACCCCGUUAAUUUAUGUGCAUCUCUUCUAAGAAUAGUAAAUUAUCCAGAUGGUUGUCAUUAUUACUCUUGAUUAGAAUAUAAACAACGGAACAUAAAAUAAUUAGAAUACACUCAUGCAUCUGCUGACCACCAACUAAUAACUGGGUUUAAAAAUGGUUUUUCACCACAAAGAUAAUCAAAGACAUUGGAAAUAAAAAUAUCAAGAGGAUAGGAAGUCUUGUGUUCUCUCCCCUGUUCCUUCGUGUAGGUUAUGCUUUCCGUUGCCCUACCUUUGCAUUUCCAUCUGCAUGAUUUGCUUCCAAUGGGCCUUGUUGUGACCUAGUCCAUGUAAUAUGAGCAAUUAUGAAAAUCCAAUGAGAAAUCACAAUAAGUAGCAAAUAGAAAUUCGAUGAGAUGGCAUAGGUCGGAAAGAGACAUGGAAAUCAAUGAAUGCAUGCAUGUCAACUUGUGGCGACCAUUAGUACAUCAGGAAUCUUGAGAUGGCAAGAACUUCUAAGCAAGGUGAUCAGAUGGAUCGAAGGCACAACUUUCAUGUGUUGAGUGGCGGCUGUGUACAACGAUCGUACAGAAGUGGAACAACACAUAGCUAUUUUACCUUGUGAAAAAAAUUGCAUCUAGAAAUUGCCUACAUCAGGCCCCAUUUGCUGAAUGGUUGGGUCUUCAAUGACGAAGGACGUGAAGGAUGGGUUCUGGGUGAUGGGAGAUGGGAUCUGGUGGGGGCAUAGGGACUGCAGCGCGCGGCUAGGGUUCAGAUAAUGGAGAUAAGUGUUUUCUAUUUUGAGAGGAGGAUCUCUAUAAUAUUAAACGGGAUCACCUAUUGUGUUCUGGCCGGAAUCACCUAUUGCCACACAUCAACAAACGUGAAUAAUAUUGAAAAGCCUAGAAGAAUAAGGAGAGAUUCCAUUAAACGUACGUGAGAUGAAUUCUCACUUUUUUAGGAAGAGAUGGGCUCUCAGUUUUG